GACAGAGGGUGCAAACGUUGUUCGGAAUUACUGGGCGUAAAGCGCGUGUAGGCGGUUGCACAAGUCGGGUGUGAAAGCCCAGGGCUCAACCCUGGAAGUGCACUCGAAACUAGGCGACUAGAGUCUCGGAGAGGAAAGCGGAAUUCUGGGUGUAGAGGUGAAAUUCGUAGAUAUCCAGAGGAACACCGGUGGCGAAGGCGGCUUUCUGGACGAGUACUGACGCUGAGACGCGAAAGCGUGGGGAGCAAACAGG
rnacentral:rRNA from 1 species